rnacentral:rRNA from 1 species
AAUGAACGCUGGCGGCAUGCCUUACACAUGCAAGUCGAACGGCAGCAUGACCUAUCUUGCUAGGUUGAUGGCGAGUGGCGAACGGGAGAGUAAUGUAUCGGACCGUGCCUUUUAGUGUGGGAUAACGUAGCGAAAGUUACUCUAAUACCGCAUCUUCCCUGACGAGGAAAGCAGGGGACCGUCUGGCCUUGCGCUGGAAGAGCGGCGGAUGUCGGAUUAGCUAGUUGGUGAGGUAAAGGCUCACCAAGGCAACGAUACGUAGCGGGUCUGAGAGGAUGAUCGGCCACACUGGGACUGGGACACGGCCCAGACUACUACGGGAGGCAGCAGUGGGGAAUUUUGGACAAUGGGCGCAAGCCUGAUCCAGCCAUGCCGCGUGAGUGAAGAAGGCCUUCGGGUUGUAAAGCUCGUUCGGGUGGGAAGAAAUCGCACCCUCUAAUACAGAGUGUGGAUGACGGUACCAGCAGAAGAAGCACCGGCUAACUACGUG